rnacentral:rRNA from 1 species
CUUUGUAAUUGGAAUGAUGGGAAUGUAAAACCCUUCCAGAGUAACAAUUGGAGGGCAAGUCUGGUGCCAGCAGCCGCGGUAAUUCCAGCUCCAAUAGUGUAUAUUAGAGUUGUUGCAGUUAAAAAGCUCGUAGUUGGAUUUCUGUCGUGGUCAGUCGGCGGCGCCCGUAUGGGUGUCCGCUGGGUUUGCCCUCGGCUUCUUUCCGGUGACCUUCCGCGCUUAACUGCGUGUGUUGGUAUUCUGGAACUUUUACUUUGAGAAAAAUAGAGUGUUUCAAGCAGGCUUGUUGCCCUGAAUACUGCAGCAUGGAAUAAUAAGAUAGGACCUCGGUUCUGUUUUGUUGGUUUCUAGGACCAAGGUAAUGAUUAAUAGGGACAGUUGGGGGCAUUCGUAUUUAACUGUCAGAGGUGAAAUUCUUAGAUUUGUUAAAGACGAACUACUGCGAAAGCAUUUGCCAAGGAUGUUUUCAUUAAUCAAGAACGACAGUAGGGGGUU